rnacentral:lncRNA from 15 species
AUGAGGGGAUUGAGGUGCAUUAAGGAUGAGAAGAUGCCUGAAAAUUGUUUCUCAUUUCAGAUACCCUUUAGUCAAGCCUCAAGCAUUUCUUGGAAGAAGGAGUGGGCACUCUUCGCCAUGUUGAACCGCCAUGUUUCUACAGCCGCAUUGUUUUGCGCAUUUCAUGGCCACCGUAGAUUCUUCUGCACGCAUGGAAUUGGGAGUGUGAGGUUGAUCCAGGCUGUGUUUGGUCAUCAGGGCUCAGAGUGUGGGCUACUGGACUUCAUUCAUGUACCUAUUUGCUAUCAUGUCCAUUUAAUUGCAUAGAAUUAUCAUAAUGCGUAUUUUCUAUAAGGUGCUAUUGAGUGCAGCAUAUAUGAAUUAAUCACAUCACAUACUUUCCAUAAUGCAAUAAUGCAAGUUUAACAUUGUUUUAAUGGAUAUCCAAGAAUUACAUGUAAAGGAAGGAUUAACAUUAAUUAUUAUUUUUGUGAUGUUUGUUUAUUAAAGUGGCUUUUCUUGGCUGUUUUAUAUUUUAUAUGUGCUUUGAUAUAGAAAUUAAAUGUGAACAUAUGAAUUUAAACACAGCUGUCUCCAAAAUUUGAAGUAUGAUAUAAGAAUUUCUUGCUGUUUUUUUAUGUGCAGUGUCCUGUGUGGCUGUUCAGUGGUAUAACACGUAAAUGUGGGUAAAGGGCACAUCUGACUUUCGAGCACCCACACCAGCUUGAAUAGAUUUGGGACAAAGGAUUUAAGCAGCCAGAGCUAUCUUCAAACCUCCUCAAGGUUGUGCCACAUACCCUGUCGGGGCCGCAUACUGGCUCUUCACACAACAUGACCCACUGUGCCGCUGCUGCAUAAUACAUCACCUCCUUGACACCAAACGGGAGAGACACCAUUGCAGCUUACAUCUUCCGACUCGUGAAAGACAGGUCUUUGAAGCUCCAGUGCGUGUUAACUCCACAGAGUGUCAGGAGCAUCGCGACCUGACAUUGCCUCUGAAAUAAAUAAAAAAAAAUAUAGGACUUUGAAUGCACAGCAGCACUUGGAGAGCCAGACUGUCUGUGUAAAGAUAAAUUUGCUGGUGGGUUGGAGGGAGGGUGGGUAGAAAAAAAAGGCUGAGUUUAUCUCAAACACAGCGUUGUACGCUAUGACAGGUAAAUAAUGAUGCGUUGUUAUCGGGACGAGGCCAAAAAAGGCCCAUGUUUUCCCCCAACCUGACAAUUUAGUGUCCUUGUCAUGUGCUACAAAGAGUGGAGUUACAAAAUCAGCUCUGCUCCCAUUUCCUUGACUGUUGUGUCUGGGGAGCAAACCGGAUGCCUGUUUUACAGUAUAAAACGGGCACAAGGGGAAACAUAUGAUACUGCGUACUGAAGUGUGCUAUAGUUUGGUUUUCAGUCAGUUUAUAAUCAAACUUUUGUGCAACAGAAUUUGUGUAAAAUACCAAUGAAAGGUACAAGAAGUAAUGACUAAAGUAUUGCGUGAUUAAGAUUAAAGUAUUUGUAUUUAAAUGCCAUGACUCUUAAAUCUGUCACUGACUGCCAAGUUAACAGCCUCUGCCAUCUCUGUCUCAGUGAAAUAGUUGACUGAACUCGACAGCAAUUAUGUGCUCGUUUGACAAAAACUUUUAAUCAAACGUGCUAUUGAUUUGAGGUCAGUCUUGAAUUAGGGGCAGGAUUAGACAAACAGAGUUUACUUCCAGGGCCAUAGAUGUCAAAUUGCAAUCAGGUUGCUUUCAGUGCUCUUAUCGAAAAAAGAGGCAAAGAAACCCUAAAGAUUUGCAGCAUUUCAGCAGCAGGUCCAACCUUAUGAUCGAUAAUGAAAUAGUUAUUUUUGCGUCUAGCAAUCUAGGUUGAUCUGUGGGAGAACAUGCAAUUAAACGACGAUCAAUCGUGUCCAAUAAUCUGCAGCAAAAGCUCUUACUAAAUGACAGAACAAAAGGGAAAAAAAGAGACUGUUGCACCAAACGUUGUCAUUAAGGCUUCUGAGUGUCUGCUCCCUUUUGUGACACAUUAAUACCACUCUAUAAAGAAAAAAAUUGAAUGUUCAAACAAAAAAAUGCAGCAUACGAACGCUCGCUAGGUCUAUAAAUGGAUGCUCACAGCUACGUGUGCUGCCAACUUAAGGCCUAUUUACAGUGUCAAAGAAUGUUUGAACUGUAAUAUAUAAGGCAACUCACUACUCAACUCUUUGUCAGGCGCCUGCUCUUUCAAACUUCAACUUUUAAAAGUUGAGCCACAUUUAACUUUAUUGCCCGCUGUGCUCUUUCGUCAGAGCCCUCUGUUUCAGCACCCCUGCUGUGUCCAGGCAACAGUCCCAUUGAAAUUAAUGUCCUGUCGUCCAUCUGUACAGGGUCUUAAAGGGGGACACACUGUUUUCAGAGGGCGCUGUGCAAAAUAUGAUAAAUUGCCUCAAGUGAUGUCAGCUGGGGCCGAAAAAGAGCUUGAAAAUGGAAAAGAAUCUCUGCGGUGCGUGGCGUUAGAAAGAAGUUAGCGACCGGCCUCGCCUUGUCGAGCUUGUCGUUGAUCAGUCAAUAUGGGUGAAGCUAGAGUAGCUUUUUAACCUAUCCACAAAAAGCAUGGUCUCUUAAAUAAAGUGGGUGAAGUUAUUGUCCCAUUAGCAACCGAGCUAAUGAGCUAAUGUACAGUUUGCUAGAUACCUCAUAGAGGUAUUGUGAACACGCUUUUUGACUCACCAACGCUAGCACCUUCCCCUGCUAGCUGUUGGCUCAUUAGCUACGGCAGCUCACUAACUAGCAGUCCCUACUUCACAAAGCUUUUAGCGCUGCUUGUUUUACAAGGACGCGCUAAUGAACUUUUGCUGUGACUGGGCCUGAAUUCUCCAAGCGUCUGUGUCGAGGCAGCAGGUGCACCAAUCUUACAAGCCAAGAGCCGACAUUUAGCAACUAAAUUAACCAAUCUUGACAUUGCAAUUAAGUGUGGUUCAGUGUGCUGCAGCUGACUGGUUGAUAUAAGCUGCGAACCGAUGUUAACAGUGCAUUUGUCCCCCCAGUGGGUGCUUGUUAAGUAGCUCAUUCAGCAGCCCAUUAUUUAUUUUGUGGUAUGCAUGAUUUUUUUUUAUUGCUCCUCUAAUUUAUUUUUACUGACCUUGAGAAUGAAUCUGUUUUAGUUCUGACCAAAAGGCUGCACGAUAGUUUGGGAUGUAUCUUACUGUGAAAGCAGCAUGUCCAGUUGCCAAUGAGACGCAGAUAGGUCAGGACAGACUGUGGAUGGUUUUCUCAUUGGAUGUGACUUGAAGUCAAGUUUCAAGCGAUAAUAGACUUGAUGCUCGCCUUGUGCACUUCCCCACUGCCACAACAGUGUGGACAACUCUCCUCGUAACUCAUUCAGUCCUGUUUUCCCUGCGUUCAAAACGUUCCUCCUGACUCACCAAAUCUCUGAAUUCGACAAGGGAGAACAACAGCGCUAAUCUGAACAGAUUUCCUGUCCGUUGCGUCGGAACUGAGCGGUGCUUGGCAUGUGUGUGUUUCAAAUGCAGCGAAUUUCAAUAGCAGUAAGGCAACAAAGCGACCAGCCGACAGACCGGCUAUUAGCUCACAAGCGCACGCACCCAGACACCCAGAAAUCAAUUACCUGCUGUUGCCUAAAAUGGCGCUUGAGUAAGCAGAAGUGUAAAAAUGUAAAGGUAAUUAGCAAAAGGCGUUAAGUCGAUUUGGGGCCUGGUGAGAGUGUUUGUGUGUGCAUAUUUGUGUGGUAAGCGUAUGUGCAUUAACUCCAGCAAACCACAGCCAAGGGUACCAUUGUCUCUUACAUUCGCUUCCCCCACCAAACAUUAUUGCCUGCCCCCAUACAGCAGAGACGACAUACAGAGUAACUGAAACACUGCAGAAACCCUUUCUAAGUACGCCACAUGGCCAUGUAUAUAUGUAUAUGGACCCCCUAAAAAAAAAGAUAUGGGCACUGGUGUGAUUGUUAAACAUCUCAUUCAAAGACCAUUAGGAUUAAUAUGCUGCCAUAACAGCCUCCUCUUCCUGGGAAGGCUUUCCACAAGAUUUUGGAAUCCGGCUGCAGAGCUGUUUUUUUUUUUUUUAAUGGUUGUGCUUUCGGGAGUUUUUUUUUUAUUUACUUACUUUGCUACUAUGUUCUUGUGCCCGAGCAUGGCAUUCAAAUGCAAAAAACCCACAAAAUUAUUCACUUUUUGGCCAUAAAUAAGUGUGCUUUGACAUGUGACAGAGUAAAUUCAGUCUAGAAAUGUGAUGCCAAAGCCCGGAUUGGUACACUAGUGGGCAGAGGAAACCCAUUAAUUAAUGAAAGUAACAUAAAUGUCAGAUGGGAAAUAAAAUAAUUUAUACAACACAAAUUACUUGAUUUAUACAAGAGUUAUAAUUGACCAUGUAAUCUUUUUUUGGAACUAUACCUCAAAUGUGUGUAACCUUUGUAUUGAAACAUGGUAUGUGGUCAGCUGAACAUUCCACCGAUAUGUUGUUUGACAUUCCUCCCGAAGCCUGAAGCAUGAAUAUGCUGCUGUAACAGCCUCCAUUCUUCUCCCGUUCAGCCACAGGAGCAUCAGCGAGGUCUGCCACUGCUGCUGGGUGAAAAGGUUUGUUUCAGUAACAAUUUAUGUGGUUUUCACCUGGUUUUUUUUGUGCCCGAAUAGGGUGCUGAAAUGCCAAAAAAAAAAGAUAAACAUGUUCCAAAAUUUGGCAAAAUAUGGCUGAUUUGACAUGGGACAGCACUUGUUAACCCAUUAUGGCAAAUUGAAACUAGAAGUUAGGCAGAGGAAACCAUUUAAGUAACAUAAUAGAUUAUGUGAAACAAUAAUGAAAUACAAUAACAUUGAAUUGUUGAAGGGUAACUUUUAUGUCACAUCACAUGUUUUGUUUUAACAUUUAUUUCCACUUUUUAUUGAAACAAACUGUGUGUGUUCUGGAAAGAAUCUAAAAAAUAAUUAUAUAAAAUGUACCUGAAUCUCCAUUCUAUAUACAGUACAUCUAUCUUGUUAUCUGUUUGUCUGCCUGUCUAUCUCUCUCAAUCUUUUUCUCUCGCUCUCAACGCUCAAGGUGAGUUAAGUCCUUCACAGCCCAGUGGGCUGUUAACAUUUCCUACCCAUUAGGAUGGCUAGCUGUACACACACUCACACACACAAACACACUCACAAAGGCAGGGAAGAAAAGGGAAUGCGGGCAGGCCAGCCAGCCAAGGUUUUCCGGUACAUGGGUCUCAUCCCGCCACACGUCACCCUCAAUUGUGGUUAACGCUGCUGUGAUCAGAGGCUCCCAGACACUCCUCUGUUGCUUUGGCACCCAAAGGCGAAGGGGGGGGGGGGGGGUAAGGAGCAAGAGAGACUGU